AUCUUUUCUUGGCUUUUUAGCUAAAAAAAAAAAAAAUCUGUUCUUAUCAGUUUAAUAUCUGAUACGUCCCUACCCGGGGACCAUAUAUUAAAUUGAUUUUUGGAGCAGGGAGAUGGAAUAGGGGCUUGCUCCGUCCACUCCACGCAUCGACCUGGUAUUGCAGUAUUUCUAGGAACGGUGCACCCCCU
rnacentral:snRNA from 1 species